UACGUAGGUGGCAAGCGUUGUCCGGAAUUAUUGGGCGUAAAGCGCGCGCAGGUGGUUCCUUAAGUCUGAUGUGAAAGCCCACGGCUCAACCGUGGAGGGUCAUUGGAAACUGGGGAACUUGAGUGCAGAAGAGGAAAGUGGAAUUCCACGUGUAGCGGUGAAAUGCGUAGAGAUGUGGAGGAACACCAGUGGCGAAAGCGGCUUCCUGGUCCAGCACCGACGUUCAGGCACGAAAGCGUGGGGAGCAAACAGG
rnacentral:rRNA from 1 species